rnacentral:rRNA from 1 species
ACUCAAUAGAUACCCUGGUAGUCCACGCCCUAAACGAUGUCAACUAGUUGUUGGGGAUUCAUUUCCUUAGUAAACGUAGCUAAACGCGUGAAGUUGACCGCCUGGGGAGUACGGUCGCAAGAUUAAAACUCAAAGGAAUUGACGGGGACCCGCACAAGCGGUGGAUGAUGUGGAUUAAUUCGAUGCAACGCGAAAAACCUUACCUACCCUUGACAUGGUCGGAAUCCUGCUGAGAGGCGGGAGUGCUCGAAAGAGAACCGGCGCACAGGUGCUGCAUGGCUGUCGUCAGCUCGUGUCGUGAGAUGUUGGGUUAAGUCCCGCAACGAGCGCAACCCUUGUCCUUAGUUGCUACGCAAGAGCACUCUAAGGAGACUGCCGGUGACAAGCCGGAGGAAGGUGGGGAUGACGUCAAGUCCUCAUGGCCCUUAUGGGUAGGGCUUCACACGUCAUACAAUGGUCGGAACAGAGGGUUUGCCAAGCCGCGAGGUGGAGCCAAUCCCAGAAAACCGAUCGUAGUCCGGAUCGCAGUCUGCAACUC